ACUACUUCAAGUUACCUUCAAUACUAAACUGUAGUACAUAGUAAUGGUAUUAUCUGCACAUGCUGCAAUGUUAGAUCUAUACACACACGCAUUACGUCAAUGAGCCUUGUGUUGCUGUAUUGUGUCAGGGCUCACUGCCUUCAGUGGCAGUGUCGUUGUCGUCUCUGUAUACUCGGCCUGUACGCAUGAGGAGUCGCGGCCGGCUUGUAGAUUACGGAAAGGCACGAGUUAUACCGAGUGUACUUGAAGCGAAACAAGGAAGUAACAGUUCAGGGUAGUGUGUACAGCUGUCUACUGUGUAAAUUCGUCUACCACCUGUCUACCGCCGUCUAUCACCGUCUAACGUUCAGUAUUCGGCAGUGUGUUGCUGUUGUGUGGCAAGGUAAACUCUGUGUAGUGUUAUACUGAGUUUGUCUUGUGCACAGGCCCUGUAUUAGUGAGGCGUCUUGUAACCCACCCGGAUAUCAGAGGAGAAAACUGACACGGGUAAUGACAACAUUAAUUCGAAUCAAGCUAGUGGGUGUCCAACUGAGCAGCGGCUACAGAUCCCCAAGUACGACAUACGCCAGAUAGUUCCGGCAGACCACGGCCGAUCACCACUACCAUGAGUAAUCAGAACAACGACCGCAACCCUCCUCAACCCAGUCCCAAGAAUAUCCAGGUUACACCAAAGACACAAGGACCCAUAGGGGCGGCUAACACUGCAGGGAAUGUCCAUGGUGGAGUUGGCAACACGUAUAACACCGUCUUCAACGUGCAAGUGGCUGGUGACUUCAGGACAGGGCCACCCUAUCAACAAGGCAGGGAUGAAGCUGAACAAUAUGGAUG